GUUUUGAUAGUUUAAUAAAAAACUUUGGUCUUGUAAAUCAAAAUUGAAGAACUGCUUCUCAAAGCU
rnacentral:tRNA from 1 species